AUUGAACGCUGGCGGCAGGCCUAACACAUGCAAGUCGAGCGAGCGGAGGAUGGGUGAGUAAUGUAUGGGGACUGCCCGAUAGAGGGGGAUAACUACUGGAAACGGUGGCUAAUACCGCAUACUAACCGAUCAACCAUAUGGGAUUGGCUAGUAGGUGGGGUAAUGGCUCACCUUGGCCAGGAUCUCUAGCUGGUCGGAGAGGAUGAUCAGCCACAAUGGGACUCAGACACGGCCCAUACUCCUACGAAGUCAGCAGUGGGGAAUAUUGCACAAGAGGCGCAAGCCUGGUGCAGCCAUGCCGCGUGUAUGAAGAAGGCCUUAGGGUUGUAAAGUACUUGCUGCUGGGAGGCGUUACCCGCAGAAGAAGCACCGGCUAACUCCGUGCCAGCCGCCGCGGUAAUUC
rnacentral:rRNA from 1 species